AAAAUUAAAUAUCAAAUGACGUAUACAAUACAACACACUUAUCUAAAGUUCUCAAUAAAAUUAUUUCCAUACUAUUUAGGGAGAACCUCAACAGCUAUAGACCACCGUUCUAUUCUCCUGUUACCCCCGCUCGACCCAGAUACACUCUUAUUACCUGAAAGGAAUUGUGAAGCAAAACAGGUGAGCACAACUAGCCCAGUAAAGAAUAUCAUGACUAAAGAUAAUUUACAUCAUCAAUAGCCUUCAUCAGUAGUAAA
rnacentral:lncRNA from 1 species